AGAGUUUGAUCCUGGCUCAGGACGAACGCUGGCGGCACGCUUAACACAUGCAAGUCGAACGAGAGAAGAGAAGCUUGCUUUUCUGAUCUAGUGGCGGACGGGUGAGUAACACGUGAGCAAUCUGCCUUUCAGAGGGGGAUACCGAUUGGAAACGAUCGUUAAUACCGCAUAACAUAAUUGAACCGCAUGAUUUGAUUAUCAAAGAUUUAUCGCUGAAAGAUGAGCUCGCGUCUGAUUAGCUAGUUGGUAAGGUAACGGCUUACCAAGGCGACGAUCAGUAGCCGGACUGAGAGGUUGAUCGGCCACAUUGGGACUGAGACACGGCCCAGACUCCUACGGGAGGCAGCAGUGGGGAAUAUUGCACAAUGGAGGAAACUCUGAUGCAGCGAUGCCGCGUGAGGGAAGAAGGUUUUAGGAUUGUAAACCUCUGUCUUCAGGGACGAAAAAAGACGGUACCUGAGGAGGAAGCUCCGGCUAACUACGUGCCAGCAGCCGCGGUAAUACGUAGGGAGCGAGCGUUGUCCGGAAUUACUGGGUGUAAAGGGAGCGUAGGCGGGAUCGCAAGUCAGAUGUGAAAACUAUGGGCUUAACCCAUAAACUGCAUUUGAAACUGUGGUUCUUGAGUGAAGUAGAGGUAAGCGGAAUUCCUAGUGUAGCGGUGAAAUGCGUAGAUAUUAGGAGGAACAUCAGUGGCGAAGGCGGCUUACUGGGCUUUAACUGACGCUGAGGCUCGAAAGCGUGGGGAGCAAACAGGAUUAGAUACCCUGGUAGUCCACGCCGUAAACGAUGAUUACUAGGUGUGGGGGGACUGACCCCUUCCGUGCCGCAGCAAACGCAAUAAGUAAUCCACCUGGGGAGUACGACCGCAAGGUUGAAACUCAAAGGAAUUGACGGGGGCCCGCACAAGCAGUGGAGUAUGUGGAUUAAUUCGAAGCAACGCGAAGAACCUUACCAGGUCUUGACAUCGUAUGCAUAGCUCAGAGAUGAGUGAAAUCUCUUCGGAGACAUAUAGACAGGUGGUGCAUGGUUGUCGUCAGCUCGUGUCGUGAGAUGUUGGGUUAAGUCCCGCAACGAGCGCAACCCUUACUGUUAGUUGCUACGCAAGAGCACUCUAGCAGGACUGCCGUUGACAAAACGGAGGAAGGUGGGGAUGACGUCAAAUCAUCAUGCCCCUUAUGACCUGGGCCUCACACGUACUACAAUGGCUGUCAACAGAGGGAUGCAAAGCCGCGAGGUGGAGCGAACCCCUAAAAGCAGUCUUAGUUCGGAUUGUAGGCUGCAACCCGCCUACAUGAAGUCGGAAUUGCUAGUAAUCGCAGAUCAGCAUGCUGCGGUGAAUACGUUCCCGGGCCUUGUACACACCGCCCGUCACGCCAUGGGAGUCGGUAACACCCGAAGCCUGUAGUCUAACCGCAAGGAGGACGCAGUCGAAGGUGGGAUUGAUGACUGGGGUGAAGUCGUAACAAGGUAGCCGUAUCGGAAGGUGCGGCUG
rnacentral:rRNA from 2 species